GGGUUUAUAGCUCAGUGGUAGAGCAAGCGCCUGCAGAGCGCUAGGUCCCGCGUUCGAACCGCGGUGGGCCCU